rnacentral:tRNA from 1 species
GGCGGUGCGUCGAGCGGUUCGGUACCUCGCCGGGCUCAAACCCGGGAGGUCGGGGGUUCAAACCCCUCCCCCGCCACGA